rfam:Nematostella vectensis strain CH2 x CH6 NEMVEscaffold_504_Cont28946, whole genome shotgun sequence.
GUUGAGAUGGCCGAGUGGUUAAGGCGAUGGACUUGAAAUCCAAUGGGAUCUUACCGCACAGGUUCGAACUUUGCCCGCAACG